AUGCAAGUCGAACGCGAAAGCCCCUUCGGGGGUGAGUAGAGUGGCGAACGGGUGAGUAACACGUGGGUAACCUGCCCCUCGCAGGGGGAUAACCGGGGGAAACCCCGGCUAAUACCCCGUACGCUUGCCGGGGCGCAUGCUCCGGCAAGGAAAGGUAGCUUCGGCCAUCCGGCGAGGGAGGGGCCCGCGGCCCAUUAGCUAGUUGGUGGGGUAACGGCCCACCAAGGCGACGAUGGGUAGCUGGCGUGAGAGCGCGACCAGCCACACUGGGACUGAGACACGGCCCAGACUCCUACGGGAGGCAGCAGCCAGGAAUCUUGCGCAAUGGGCGAAAGCCUGACGCAGCAACGCCCCGUGGGCGAUGAAGGCCUUCGGGUCGUAAAGCCCUGUUGUCGGGGACGAAGGGCGAAGGGUUAAUAGCCCCUAGCCUGACGGUACCCGACGAGGAAGCCCCGGCUAACUACGUGCCAGCAGCCGUGGUAAUACGUAGGGGGCGAGCGUUGUCCGGAAUCACUGGGCGUAAAGAGCGUGUAGGCGGCCCGGUAAGUCUGCCGUGAAAACCCGGGGCUCAACCCCGGGCGUGCAGUGGAAACUGCCGGGCUAGAGGGCGGCAGAGGCGAGUGGAAU
rnacentral:rRNA from 1 species